rnacentral:rRNA from 1 species
UCCGAAGGGGGCUAUCGUUGUUCGGAAUCACUGGGCGUAAAGGGCGCGUAGGCGGCUUUGUAAGUCGGGGGUGAAAGCCUGUGGCUCAACCACAGAAUUGCCUUCGAUACUGCGAGGCUUGAGACCGGAAGAGGUUAGUGGAACUGCGAGUGUAGAGGUGAAAUUCGUAGAUAUUCGCAAGAACACCAGUGGCGAAGGCGGCUGACUGGUCCGGAUCUGACGCUGAGGCGCGAAAGCGUGGGGAGCAAACAGG